AACGAUAUUAUUUACACUAAGGAAAAGAGGGUGAACUUAGCUUCACAAUGUGGUAACAAUAAUAUGGUUCAAAAUAGCAUGCAUGCUUAAAUGUAAGAAAAUGUUGCAAAUGGUGAAAUGCUCUGAUCUGAUGAUUAUGGCCUUUUUCUUUAAUUAUUGUGUUUCAGGUUCAAGCUUUUUCUUAAUUAGAUUAGUGCAUAUUAUUGCUUGUAUUUAAAAAACAAAUUGUAAAAAAAGUUAAAAUUAAAGUUAAUAUGUAUUAAAGAAAUCUUCAUCAAAGUCAACAAAUUAAUUGUCUGCAUGAAAUGCAUGUAUGGAUUAUGCAGUGUACGUUGCUUUGCUUCUCGUGAUUAACGAGGAAUGAGUGCAACUGUGCAAGGAGAUUUCCCUUUCAUUGAUCAAAUCAUAAUUCAUAAGGCUAACGUCGCGGGUGCGUAUCUUGCACAUACGUUGCAUUUCACGUCCCAUAACCCACAUGCCCCACUCUGUUAAGUGGCACCAUUUCAUUUCCUCUCAAAUUUUUAAUUUUACGUUAAUUAAUUAAAAGCAUUAAUAUAUUAGGUCAUCUGUAUGUGUUGGUCCACAACUUUAUUUACGAUUAAUCUUUUAAUUUCAUAAUCUUAAUCACAGUCAACGUAUCUGCUGCUCUUUAUAUAUACCAGCCAUGCAUUUCCUUAAGUAAUCUAACUACCUUUAGUUGCUACUGCUGAUAGUUGUUUGUAUAUUAGCUAGGUGUGCUUCAUAAAUUUCAAGUAAACAUAUUAUAUAAAGGGAAAAUAAUGAAAUUUACGAGUUUUUGUUAAUGCAAUGGAAGAGAAACGAUCAAUUUUGUGAGUUUUUAAUAAUGCAAGGGAAGAGAGAAAUCGAAUUUUGUAUCUCUUCCAAUAUUUGGAACUGAAAUAUAACCAAGAAUUAGUUGGUAACAUUUUUUUGAACAAAUUUGUAAUUAAGUAUCACUAGGUAAGAGCUAAUUUUAAUUAGGAUAUCAAAUUGCACUCAUCAUGCAUCUAAACUUGCAAUUCUUUUGCUAAGUUAGAAAUCAACCUUGAACUUAUAUAUCAUUCUCAUUACCCCAUCCUCCCUCGCCAAUACUUGAAAUUAAUAUCAAAGACUUACGCAUUCCUUUCCAGUGUUCGGUGCCAACAAUACUUCUAAUUCAAACUAACAGUGUUAUAACAUAACUUUUGUGCACAUAAUCAGAAUAUAAAAGAACAUUACAUAAUUUAGGUACAUAUAUAUAUAUAUAUAUUUCAAUAUAUAAUCUCAAUUCUUUUUUUGUUAAGUUUUUAGUACCUACGUGGAGAAGGCCAUUGGCCCAAACCUCCAUAUAUAAUGUUCCAAAAAAUUUAUACAUGUAGAAAUAUAGAGAAAGUUUUAGAAACCUACACUGGUCCCCCAAAUAUGACAGUAUCUGCAUUAUAGGCAUCCCUAAACGUAUAAUGCAAAGACUUUCAAGAACUUACAUCAUUUGACAGCAUAUGCCUGCCAAUGUUCACACGCGCGCGCAUAUAUAUGUGUGUGUGUAUAUAACAUAAGAACACAACUUCACAUCCUUCGAUCGCCUUUAAUUUCCUCAUUUGAAUUUUUCACAAAUGCUAUUUCUAAUUUGAGUUGUCCAAUUUCCUAUCAAGCACAUUCAUUUCAUUUUCAUGGCCAUAUACAUAACAUGCUGUAUUAUAAUAUUUUGGGUAGUGUUAUCCACAUACCCAUUUUUACUUCUUACACACUCCUCUCAACUUUUGGUCCUCAGAUCGAAUGAAUUAAAGAAGAUCAAUGACCAAAAAUUUAACAAAGAAUGUGUGAAAGGUAAAAAUGAGUUUGUGAAUAGCACUAUGAUAAUAUUUUACGUUUAAUUUCAUUAAAGUAAAGAUUUGACGGGGUUUCAUUUGAGAAGAGAUUUAAAACUUUUUACGGUAUUCAUGCAUGUAUCACAUGAUAAUUAUACUUUGUUGAUGCACAAAACCGGAGGUCUUGGAACAACGUAAAUCCGACCGUGAAUCUGCAAGAAAUGUAAAUAACACAAGAUGUAUCGUGGUUCACCCCAAGGUUUAGGCUACGUCCACACUGAUUAUGUAUUUAUCUGAGAAGUGAGGGAGAGAGAUUCAGAGCCUCUGAGGGAGAGAGUGAGGUCUCUGAUGGCCUAGGAAUUGGCCUCCCCUAAUUGUGAGGGUGAAGAGUCCUUUUAUAGAAUAAGGGCUCCUCACUUAUUACAUAUUUGCCACUUCCUUUAUUAUAUAAUUACAUUUAAGUCCCCCGAGUAUUUGUACGAGAUCUAAAUACAAAGGCCCUAAAUAUGGUAUAAACAGUAGUCCCCCAAGUCUUCAGUCAAGAGAGUCUUUUGGCUGGAGACUUGAAAUUCAGUCCAUGUGUGGGUCGAAGUAACUAGAUGUUGUCUUGAACUGACGCUCGAUAUUAGGCGGUGCUUAAUCUGAAAUGAUGCUCAACUAGAAGUAGCACAUGCUGCGAGGCUGCUCGGCUCGUGGCUUAUGUUGCCUUGGUUGGCUUGGCUUGUGGCGUUGAAGGUGAGGGAGUCCCUUUUAUAG
rnacentral:lncRNA from 1 species